rnacentral:rRNA from 1 species
AGGUACAAACCAAUGGCACAAUACUUGUCCGAGCGGACAUUGGUAUGAAGCUACGUUUGCCGGAUUAUGCCUGAACGCCUCUAAGGUCGUAGCCGUGCCAGAACAACAGUUCAUCUAAAGGCUCUUAUACACAUUGUAUUGGUUAUAAUGGACGGGUACAUAUCUAUUCUCGUAAUAUUUUUGUACUCACCUAAAUCCAUUCUCAUAUUCUCCCAUGUGUCUGUAUGUAUCAUAUGAAGCUAGUAAUUACGAUUAUGUUUUUGAACGCUUCGAUAUUAUCUACAGUCAAUCAUGGAUAAUGCUAUGUUAGAGCCUGAACCCCUCGCAAACGACGAGGAUUCAAGCGGAGUGCCGUAAGUUGUAGAGAAUUUUUUAUUCGAUCUUCUAAGACUACUCUAGCUUGGCGGUUC